UACGGAGGGUGCGAGCGUUAAUCGGAAUAACUGGGCGUAAAGGGCACGCAGGCGGGCUUUUAAGUGAGAUGUGAAAUCCCCGGGCUUAACCUGGGAACUGCAUCUGAUACUGGCAAGCUUGAGUCUCGUAGAGGGGGGUAGAAUUCCAGGUGUAGCGGUGAAAUGCGUAGAGAUCUGGAGGAAUACCGGUGGCGAAGGCGGGUCUCUGGGCAGUAACUGACGCUGAGGAGCGAAAGCAUGGGGAGCGAACAGG
rnacentral:rRNA from 1 species